rnacentral:rRNA from 1 species
UACGGGGGGAGCAAGCGUUGUUCGGAUUUACUGGGCGUAAAGGGCGCGUAGGCGGUCAGCACAAGUCAAUUGUGAAAUCUCCGAGCUUAACUCGGAAAGGUCAACUGAAACUGUGCGACUAGAGUGCGGAAGGGGCAACUGGAAUUCUUGGUGUAGCGGUGAAAUGCGUAGAUAUCAAGAGGAACACCUGCGGCGAAGGCGGGUUGCUGGGCCGACACUGGCGCUGAAGCGCGAAAGCCAGGGGAGCGAACGGG